rnacentral:rRNA from 1 species
AACCUGGUUGAUCCUGCCAGUAGUCAUACGCUCGUCUAAAAGAUUAAGCCAUGCAUGUCUAAGUAUAAAUGCUUUAUACUGUGAAACUGCGAAUGGCUCAUUAUAUCAGUUAUAGUUUAUUUGAUAGUACCUUACUACUUGGAUAACCGUAGUAAUUCUAGAGCUAAUACAUGCGUAAAGUCCCGAUGGGAUGUAUUUAUUAGAUCGAAACCAAUGCGCUUCGGCGGUAUUUUGGUGAGUCAUAAUAACUGUGCGGAUCGUAUGGCCUUGUGCCGACGAUGAAUCAUUCAAGUUUCUGCCCUAUCAGUUUCGAUGGUAGGAUAUUGGCCUACCAUGGCGUUAACGGGUAACGGAGAAUUAGGGUUCGAUUCCGGAGAGGGAGCCUGAGAAACGGCUACCACAUCUAAGGAAGGCAGCAGGCGCGUAAAUUACCCAAUCCUGACUCAGGGAGGUAGUGACAAGAAAUAACGGACCGAAGCCUUCGGGGCUUCGGGAUUGC